rnacentral:rRNA from 1 species
GUCUUGAAACACGGACCAAGGAGUCUAGCAUGUGCGCGAGUCAUUGGGAACAACUAAACCUAAAGGCGCAAUGAAAGUGAAGGUCCGCCUUGCGCGGACCGAGGGAAGAUGGGCGGUGUCCACCACAAGUUGGCCCGCCCCGCACUCCCGGGGCGUCUCGUUCUCAUUGCGAGAAGAGGCGCACCAAGAGCGUACACGCUGGGACCCGAAAGAUGGUGAACUAUGCCUGGUCAGGACGAAGUCAGGGGAAACCCUGAUGGAGGUCCGUAGCGAUUCUGACGUGCAAAUCGAUCGUCGGAACUGGGUAUAGGGGCGGAAGACUAAUCGAACCAUCUAGUAGCUGGUUCCCUCCGAAGUUUCCCUCAGGAUAGCUGGCGCUCGUCGCCUACGAGUCUCAUCCGGUAAAGCGAAUGAUUAGAGGCAUUGGGGUCGAAACGGCCUCAACCUAUUCUCAAACUUUAAAUGGGUGAGAUCUCCGGCUUGAUCGAACUACUGAAGCCGCGAGACACGGAUCAGAGAGCCAAGUGGGCCAUUUUUGGUAAGCAAAACUGGCGCUGUGGGAUGAACCAAACGCCGAGUUAAAGCGCCUAAAUCGACGCUUAUGGGAUACCAUGAAAGGCGUUGGUAACUUAAGACAGCAGGACGGUGGCCAUGGAAGUCAGAAUCCGCUAAGGAGUGUGUA